AUUGAACGCUGGCGGCAGGCCUAACACAUGCAAGUCGAACGAGUGGCGGACGGGUGAGUAAUGUCUGGGAAACUGCCCGAUGGAGGGGGAUAACUACUGGAAACGGUAGCUAAUACCGCAUACCAUCGGAUGUGCCCAGAUGGGAUUAGCUUGUAGGUGAGGUAACGGCUCACCUAGGCGACGAUCCCUAGCUGGUCUGAGAGGAUGACCAGCCACACUGUACCUGAGCACCGGGCCAGACUCCAACGGGAGGCAGCAUUGGGAAAUAUUGAACAAUGGGCGCAAGCCGGAUGCAGCCAGGCCGCGUGUCUGAAGAAGGCCUUCGGGUUUUAAAGUACUUUCAGCGGGGAGGCUUUACCCGCAGAAGAAGCACCGGCUAACUACGUGCCAGCCGCCGCGGUAAUAC
rnacentral:rRNA from 1 species